CAAAUCACGUGUCCCAUAUUAAUCGGAAACUAGUGUAGUAUAAGCAAGCAAAAUGUCGGACUGCAAUUCUACAAUGCAAAGGAAGUCACAUGAUGUGAAAGUAAAAUAACUAUACUGAUACAAUGGAGAAGAUUUUGACAUUAUUUUUAAUUCUUUUCAUACGUUUUCUAACGACUAAAUGCGAUCCAUGUCUUACCUAUAAAGUUUUGGAUACACCAGAUGCAAGUACUAGGUCCGUAGCAAAUGCUGAAACACCUUUCACUCUGUGUGACAAUACUUUAGAAGCUGGAUGGUACCGUAUCACUAGCUAUGCUGGAGAACGGAUGCCAACAGAAUGUGUCUUUGUAGGAAUGAGGUGUGGAACAACACUUUCAAUAUGGAUGAAUGGAACGUAUCCAGACGCCGGUGUUGUGAAAACAGUUGAAGCAUGCGCAGCAUAUUAUGACGGAGAUUGUUGUAAAUACUCUUAUGACAUUGAAGUCAAGAACUGUACAGAUUAUCUUGUGUACAAUUUGAUUCCAGUGUCACCAUGAUCAGGCUUAUUGCUUUGGUUCUGAAUUGAAAUGUCCAGAGGGAGAAACUUCGGAUAAUGGAGGGUUUACACCAGGAUGUGAAAUCGACCCAUGUCAUAGCAGUAACUACGAAAUACUCGUUGGAGAAAUGAAACGGUCCUCGAACUAUACACUACAGGAUACCGAUGUUGCGAUAGAGGACAGUCGAUUAACAACAGGAUGGUACAAGAUCGAUAGUGUGACAGGAAAUGACAUAGUCAAUGAAAGCGUUUCUAUGAUGCAGUGUGGUACUUUAUAUCCAUUGUGGAUGAACGGGAUCAUACCCGAUGUUUCAGACAAAACCAUUGAUAGAAAAGUAUGUUAUUCAGGAUUAUUAAGCAACUGUGACCAGAAGUUUGAUAUAAAGGUUCGGAAUUGUGGGAACUACAGGACUUAUUACUUGACACAGUUGAAUGUUGACAAAUCUGCCUACUGUUUUGGUACCUUACCUGUCCCUGAUCCUACAACUACCACCGCAAGGAGUCAAAUAGAUGAUAAUGAUACAGAAGACAAACGCUUCAUCUGGGUUAUCGUAGCUAUUCUUGCAGUAUUAUCCGCCAUAUUGCUGACUAUACUUCUUGUAAAAUUCGUAUUGCAAAGAACAGCACAAAAGCGAUCGAUCAGUUGUGUAAGUGUACAGAAAAGGGAUCCACCAAGUUAUGACGAAACGUUACAAAACGACAAAAUUAAACAGUUGCAGAAGAACCAAACAGAAAGACCUUAUGUCCUUGAACAUCAAUUUAUCCCCAUAGAUUCGAUGCUAGUGCCACCAAAUAGUACUAACUAUGCAUAAAUGAAAAGACAUUAGAUAUUUUGUCAUGGCCAUGCUGGUGGGCUUACAACAAGUAACAUAAUGGUUUGCUUUCAGGAAGAUCAAACUUGACGUUUGUAAAUACACAGAUUGUUCAAAUUAUUUUUCAUAUUAUACUGGCAUAUUUAAGACAAAAGAUGAUAAUUAUAAAUUUGAGAGAACAAGCUAAGAGCUAUUUUUAAAACAACUAUUAAUCUUUUUAAAGGCGUUAAUCUAAAUGUGCUUGUGAUUUUUAAUGUACCGACAUAUUUGAUUAUAUUAUUAUUUUUGUAUGUUUAUAUUAAUUCUAUUUAGAAAAGUGAUAUUGCACAAAUAUUUUGAAGUUUGUUCUAUAUUUUCUAAAUUACAUUUUUACAACAUAUAUAUGCAGCUAAUUAGAUUGUUCCAAAGCUGUCACGUCACUGUAGCACUAAAAUAACUUGUCAUAAAGAAAAUUAUUUUGAUAUAUGAUUUUAAAUGACUCGAAAACAUGAAGCAUUUACAGUGACUUUUAAUAUUGCAUAAGUCAAUGAUGCAUUACCAUUCUCUUGGUUUUUAAACAGCUCAUUUUGUUUCCAAUUAGAUAUAGUAUAGACCAAAAACUUACAAUAUUAUUUCAUUGUGUUUUUUUUUUUCUUCUGUGAAAAAGAUAACAACUUACGUUAAGGUUUUUCUUUCAUUUAUUAUAAUCUUAUAUGAUCGCUUUAUAUAUAUAUAUCUGCUUUGUUCCCAACAGCUCAAAAAUGUGAAUCAACGGUCCUUGUCCUUGCGUAAUCUGUUACCCUACCAAAUGUUAAAUGAAACAUAAAAUGUUAUCGUUUGAAAAAUGUUUGAGAUAACAGUUUAUUCAUUUGCAUGUUAUAUACAAACUGAUAUCUUUUUUUAAUCGUGUGACAAAAUAUAUUGUUUAGGUAAGACAUUUUUUCACAUCUAAAUAUUAAUGACAAAUCUCAAAAUGAGGCUACUAUUUGGUUAUUAUAAACUCAAGUAAUUUUAAGUCCUACUACAAACAUGUAAAACAAAAUUCAUUGACAAAUUUACUGAUAUAUGAUAGAUAAAUGUGUCAUGAACAUUUAAAUAUGUUAUUUGGAAGAUUCAUUAUAUAAAAUAUAUAUAAUAAAUAAAAUAUAAUAUAACUUUCAAUUUUCAAAUGUAAGGACCAUAAAACGUGGCCUUACCAUAUCCUCUCCUCUAUUUUAGAAGUGCAUGCUUAUUUUUGUGAAAGGCUAGAAAUGAAAUGAUCUACAUAUUUAGAGAACAUUGCAGAUAAAAUUGUUAUCACGACGCCUUUAACGGAACAUUCUAUUCAAAAAUGUUAAUAACAUGUAUAUCUAUUACUGUAACAGAGCCAUGUCAAUUGACUCUUACAAUUAAUCUGCCUUAUUUAAUGAAUAUUUAUUUUUUUCGUUUUAAACUUUUAAUUAUCUCCAUUCAUCUAUUUUUUGUUUAGGUAUUUAUGUUCAGCCUCUGUUUGUUUGUUUAUUAGAAACAAAUUAUUUUUCGUCCACAAUCAGGAUCAUUUACGAUACCGUCCACACUUAUCUUCUAACCAUGUGUUGGUUUAUAUCGAUAUUGGUCACAGAACUAUACAUAUGUGUUGAUAAUGUUAAGUUUAAUUGCUUGUGUACACUUUUAUUAAAUGUUGCUACAA